rnacentral:rRNA from 1 species
GACGAACGCUGGCGGCGUGCUUAACACAUGCAAGUCGAACGGAAAGGCCCUGCUUUUGUGGGGUGCUCGAGUGGCGAACGGGUGAGUAACACGUGAGUAACCUGCCCUUGACUUUGGGAUAACUUCAGGAAACUGGGGCUAAUACCGGAUAGGAGCUCCUGCUGCAUGGUGGGGGUUGGAAAGUUUCGGCGGUUGGGGAUGGACUCGAGGCUUAUCAGCUUGUUGGUGGGGUAGUGGCUUACCAAGGCUUUGACGGGUAGCCGGCCUGAGAGGGUGACCGGCCACAUUGGGACUGAGAUACGGCCAAGACUCCUACGGGAGGCAGCAGUGGGGAAUAUUGCACAAUGGGCGGAAGCCUGAUGCAGCAACGCCGCGUGCGGGAUGACGGCCUUCGGGUUGUAAACCGCUUUCGCCUGUGACGAGGCGUGAGUGACGGUAAUGGGUAAAGAAGCACCGGCUAACUACGUG